rnacentral:rRNA from 1 species
CAGCAGCCGCGGUAAUACGAAGGGGGCUAGCGUUGUUCGGAUUUACUGGGCGUAAAGGGCGCGUAGGCGGGCGAAUAAGUCAGGGGUGAAAUCCCAAGGCUCAACCUUGGAACUGCCUUUGAUACUGUUUGUCUUGAGUUCGAGAGAGGUAAGUGGAACUGCGAGUGUAGAGGUGAAAUUCGUAGAUAUUCGCAAGAACACCAGUGGCGAAGGCGGCUUACUGGCUCGAAACUGACGCUGAGGCGCGAAAGCGUGGGGAGCAAACAGGAUUAGAUACCCCCGUAGUCCCUGUCUCUUAUAA